CAAGAAAAAACUCAUCCAAUCAAUUGAAAUUAACAAAUUAUGGCCAAAGUUCAUCAUCUAAGUCUGUCUACUUUUCUCCUCGGAUUUCUCUUGGUUAUGAUUGUUUCCGACUUCGGAUAAGUCCAUGGACAAUCAUGUUAUGCAGUGGAUGUCUUUGAACUUAAUAUCGACUACUGUGAAAAAAAUUACUGUGAAUGGGGAUGUAUGCACAAACAGUUAGAUCAACUAACUGGAAGAUUUGAUUCCGUGGCGAACUAAUUUAAUCACAGGUGUUCCCCUUUGCUACUGUUGCAUCAAUGGAUAAUCCAACAGCUCUGGUUCCAUCGACCACUGUCUUUCCUUUUUCCUUAUCAAUUGGAAUAAGUUUCAUAUGAUGAAACAAGUUCUUGGCAGAUUGUCAUCAGUUUGAUCAUAUCCUUAAUUUCCUGAUCAAUUAAUUGUUUGAUCACUAUGUUCUUUUGUUUUCUUUGCACGUACCAGUUCUUGUAUCAACCAGUGUUGCUUGUUUGUAUUGAAAAAUGUUUUCGUUAUCGUCAAAA